CGUCCGAAAUCGCAUACUUCUCUACUAUAUAGAAUGGAAAAAGUAGUAUGCGACAAAUUAGUAUGUUUGAAUCUUUUGCGUCCAUAAAAGAGUGGGCGAGAAUUCCAAUAACUCUCGCGAGAUUCAGUUGUACGUAUACUUAAUUUGCGUUCUAAUAUGCCUACUCACCUACUAUAUAGUAGGGAAAAAGAGUAUGUGAAGAAAGAAGUACGUUCAAAACCUUGAACCAUAAAACAGUAGGCGAGAAAUCCCCGGAUGUCCUACUGCUUCAGCGAAGAGCGAAGGGUUCAUCGAUGGAUACUUUUCAAUCCCAGAAUGCCACGCGAAAGGGAUAAAUCGUCAUCGAACGUGAAGGAGAGCAGCGACGUGGGUGUUUACCAAGGGACAGAUGAGACACAAGAAUGUUUAUCUGCUGCAGAGAGACUGAUGAAGAAAUGCUGCCAUCAAAGCCUCUCGGUGAGUACACUACAGUCAUCAAUCUUUUAGAUCUUAAGUUGUAGUUUAUUAAUAAACAGUUAUUACAGCACUUUUCUGAUUCUUGAUUGCUGUACAUUUGAUGCAGAUCUUUUGUGGUUGAGCAGGUGACAGAGGCAUUUGUGGAUGAACCAGAGACCAAAAUAUAAAGUAAGAUCAUUCUGUUACUUCUAAUACAGAAAUGAAAUAACACUGUGCUGUUAAAAUGACUGCUUUUGUUUUGUGCUUGUGCAUCUUUGCAGGAUCUGAAAUGUCUUCAGACAGCUGUGUGCACUGAGGAUGGAGAAGACGGAGUGUCAUGGGUGAAACGCUCCAUCACUGCAUAUCCUCUUUCUUUCUCAUCAGGACCAGAUGCUGCUGUGGUCUCUUCAUCGUCAGUGACCCCAGAGCCAGUGAGAACAUCUAGAGAAAGACCACAAGACACUGAGGAUGUGAUUUUGGUCAAGUUUGUUCUGCUGGUUUCUGUUCAUACAACAUCAGUCAAUGAAACCCGAGUUUCAGAAGUUUCUAAAGCAUCAUCAAAUAAUGUCAUGAAAAAUCUGAAAGUCAGGUUCCAUUGACUGAUACUGUAUGAACACAAACCAGCAGGAGAAACCAGACCAAAAUCACCUUUUGUGUUUGGACAAAGGAUUGAACAGAAUGAAGGCAAGUCGUUAAUGACUGAAUUUAUACGUUUAGAUGAACUGACCCUUUAAAACCCCAAAUAGAAACUGUAUUAAAUGUAUGCAUGCAUUAAUAUUAUAGUAGAACAUUGAAGAAAAAAAGCUUUAAGAAAUAAGCAGCUUUAUUGAUCAUUUUUUGUCCAAGACACAAAAAAGCAUUCACAAAAUUCACAUUUACAUGUAUUAAUUGGCUAGACACUUUUAUCUGAAGUGACAGUGCUCUUAUUACAGGACCUCAAUCCCUCUGGAGUCACCUGGAGUAAAGACUGGUGGAGACUGAUCCAGCAACCUUCUGAUCACCAGUCCAGUUCACUACACCACAGAAAUACUGAAGCUAUAUCAAAUUAACAUGCAAUUGUAAAAAAAAUUAAAUUAAAUUCAGCAGUAAAUAGAAUGCUGACAACAUGAUAUAAAGCGUUUUACUCCGUGUAAAUGUUUUCCAGGUAGUGGUGCUCAUGGAGAGCAGCACACAGAUCUUUGGAGCAGACACAGCAGUCAGAUCAUCCCACACAUGUUCUCCAGCUCUUGUUCAGGGUCGUGUGGUCCAGGGUCUUCAUCAUGGUGUUCCUGAUCCUCUCAGUGCACUCAGAAAAGGACUCAAUGUCCCUCUCUCAUCAUGAUCAGAUUCAGUCUGACUGCAGCAGUGAGGGACGUGAUGGACGGAUGUGGGUUCACCGUCUGUAAACAUUCAAAAACAGAACAAUGUCUGAAUAAAGUUUUGUUUCAUGUGU